rnacentral:lncRNA from 1 species
CAGAUCUUCCGCAACACAAUAUAGACACCCCCCUCCCCAGUGAACAGCUUCUUCUUCAUCACACAAAACACAUCAAUACAAGACCUAAGCCUUGAACCUAGGAGACACACCCACAUACCGGUUUUCCAGCCAUCGCCACCCCUCGCUGGAAACCACCAGAGCAACACUGUCCAGUAGCCUGUCACCCACCAGCGCACCACUGGCCCGUCAUCUUUCUCACUAAAAAAACAACGGAUGUAGCAACAGCCGAACCAGCUUUGCUGUCAUCUUCGCCAGACCUCCUCAUCUCCAAAACCAGCCUUCUCUUCUUCUCAAAAGAUCACAAACACACGCACAAAAGCAGAGAAAACAGAGUAGGACAUGGGAAACUGAGGUUCGAGGUUCUCGUUGAGAUUUGCGGUUCGUAUUGACGUUUUGUUUUGCUGCUGUUUCGAAUUUUACUGUUGAGUUUAGCUCGUCGCCCUCCUCUAUACCUUUAGUCACGAAAUUUAAUCAGAAGAAAUUAAGGUUCAAUCCACUAUAUUUCUCUUUAUUUCAUUGUGUUAAUGAUGAUGCUUAGAAUGGCACUAGCAUUUGACUUAACUGUAUUUGUUUAGG